rnacentral:rRNA from 1 species
UACGGGGGGAGCAAGCGUUGUUCGGAUUUACUGGGCGUAAAGGGCGCGUAGGCGGCCUCCGCAAGUCAAUUGUGAAAUCUCCGGGCUUAACUCGGAAAGGUCAACUGAUACUGCGGGGCUAGAGUGCGGAAGGGGCAACUGGAAUUCUUGGUGUAGCGGUGAAAUGCGUAGAUAUCGGGAGGAACACCAAUGGCGAAGGCAGCUCGCUGGGACGUUACUGACGCUGAGACGCGAAAGCGUGGGGAGCAAACAGG